CAGAUGCCUGGGACAAAGGGAGCCUUAGGUCUGGGGGAGAGGAGGAUGUGUUCAUUGUGGGCCAUGUUGAGUUGAAGGUGCCUGGGUACACCAGCAGGGAGACGUACCAAGGGAAAGCUAGGGGAGCCAUUAACGCAGGGCAGAAGGUGGUCCAGACUCCAGAGACGAGAGGUUUCAGUACCUGAAAGUGUUGCCCAAAUCCAAGAGUCCCUGCUUCGCAAUGCAAGACCUGUGAAAGCCAAGCAUGCCGAUGGACAUGCAACUGCCUCAAACAUAUUCACGUACCUGUGACUCAUGGCUUUAACCAAGAUCGAUUACUUCACUUGUAAAGACAUACAACCCAUUGAUUUUGACUGUGGUCAGAGAAACCAGUCAUGAUGAAUGAAUCUGGCCAUAGCUCUUCUUAACAAUGUCACAGAUUAUCUUGUGAACCCUGGGGCCCAUUCACUUCCACUCGGGAGACGACUGGCAUCAGCAACGACAAGAACAUACCAUGAUUCUUGAGGUACCUCGUAAAGCGUGGAGGACUGUG